rnacentral:rRNA from 1 species
AACGAACGCUGGCGGCAUGCCUAACACAUGCAAGUCGAACGAGAUCUUCGGGUCUAGUGGCGCACGGGUGCGUAACGCGUGGGAAUCUGCCCUCAGGUUCGGAAUAACCAUUGGAAACGAUGGCUAAUACCGGAUGAUGACGUUAAGUCCAAAGAUUUAUCGCCUGAGGAUGAGCCCGCGUAGGAUUAGCUAGUUGGUGUGGUAAAGGCGCACCAAGGCGACGAUCCUUAGCUGGUCUGAGAGGAUGAUCAGCCACACUGGGACUGAGACACGGCCCAGACUCCUACGGGAGGAAGCAGUGGGGAAUAUUGGACAAUGGGCGAAAGCCUGAUCCAGCAAUGCCGCGUGAGUGAUGAAGGCCUUAGGGUUGUAAAGCUCUUUUACCCGGGAUGAUAAUGACAGUACCGGGAGAAUAAGCUCCGGCUAACUCCGUG